rnacentral:rRNA from 1 species
GACGUAGGGUGCGAGCGUUGUCCGGAGUUAUUGGGCGUAAAGCGCGCGUAGGCGGCGUGGUGCGUCGCACGUGAAAGCCCGCGGCUCAACCGCGGAGGGUCGUGCGAGACGGCCGCGCUGGAGGCAGGGAGAGGGCUGGUAGGAACUUCCGGACGAUGGACAGCUACGGUAGGGGAAAUUGACGGGUAGAGAUCGGGAGGAACACCGGUGGCGCAGGCGGCCAGCUGGCCCUGACCUGACGCUGAGG